GACGUAGGGCGCGAGCGUUGUCCGGAUUUAUUGGGCGUAAAGAGCUCGUAGGCGGCUUGUCGCGUCGGCUGUGAAAACCCGCGCUCAACCUGGAGACGCCACUUGAUACUGCUGUGACUGGAGUCCGGUAGGGGAGCGUGGAAUUCCUGGUGUAGCGGUGAAAUGCGCAGAUAUCAGGAGGAACACCAGCGGCGAAGGCGGCGCUCUGGGCCGGUACUGACAGCUGAGGAGCGAAAGCGUGGGUAGCAAACAGG
rnacentral:rRNA from 1 species